rnacentral:lncRNA from 1 species
GCCCCAGGGGCUUCACUGGAGCCCCAGGCCCGGGGACCUCCUUCUCAGCCACGACCACCUGCCAGGAGACGCCCCCCGCAGCUGCCCAUCUGCCCACAGAUGCUCUAAGCCUCCCCCGUGCCAGGCAUUGUGCACAGAGUGGUUGCAGGGGGUCCACCAAGCACCUUCCCUGGAGGCCCAGGAACAGCAGGCUCCUCACACCCACAGCCAACCCAGCCUCCAGCCUCCGCCCCC